UUUUUGGUCCCAAGGCUCGC
rnacentral:snRNA from 1 species